rnacentral:lncRNA from 1 species
CAGGAUUAGCUGGGACAACAGGCACAUACCAUCAUGCCCAGUGAACAGCCCUUCCUUGCUAACAAAAACAAACAGUUAAGCGAUGGCUUUGAUGCACUGAGCAUUGAUUGAAACUGAAACUUGAAAUCCUUCAGUGCCUCUGCAGAGCCUACGGUGUAAACUCCAAGAUCCUUGAUAUGAGUUACAAGAUGCUCUUUUGAGUUGGCAUUUGUCUCUUCUGGGCCUACUCUCCAUUCACUCCCCACCUCACAUGUAACACCUAGUAGCACUUAGUUCCUGGAACACAAUUAACUGCUUCAUGCCUAUGGGCAUUUGUUCAUGCUUUUCCCUUUUGAUUAGAAAUAAACCUCUGUAGGCCUUUCUCUUGGGCUUGUUCAGGUGGUCCAGUAGAAGCAUCCUGCAAAAUUGCCAGAGGGUAUGUGACUUUGUGGGCCUAUAAG